rnacentral:lncRNA from 1 species
GAGAUAAGGUAAGAUGGAUAAGAUGCAACUAAGUUACAAAGAGAAGAUAAGUUACAGGGGCUGUCCCAUGAAUAGUUUUAAAUGUUAGAAUCAAAAUUUUUAGUCUAGUACGUAAAUGUAAUGGAAGCCAAUGUAAGUUAAAGUAUCCGGGGCUAUUUCAUAGGUGGAAAAGUGCUGUUUUAUUAUGGGCAUCAAACAUCAAUUACAGAUCAAAAUUAACACCAAGAUCGCACACUUGAGAGGAUGGAGUAACUAAUACAGUCAGUAAUCAAACUGGAACAAUUAAAUGUAUGCAAAGCCAUUGACAUACCAACAAAUAAAAGUUCAGUUGAUUGAUUUAGGCUAUUUAAAACAAGGACAAUUUGAAGUAUGCAGGAUUAUAGUUUUAUAAAUAAUUAAAUAAAUUAAAAAAAUCAUAUAACAAAUGCCCAGGAGUUGAAUAAAUACACAUAUAUUAAUGAAUUAAGUUUAUUAAUGUUGUUGGGUCAUAGUAGUUACGUUUUGUUUUGCAGGUUGCUGCUGACAGUGAAGUGGACAUAGAGCAUAUGGAUGUAAAAUUCUUGCCAACAAAGGAAGUAAGUAAAACGGAAGAUAUAUCACUUUGUUUAGAACAACAAGCAACCAAAGAUGUUGAGAACCUUCCAUCGGGCCAUGACACAAAUAAGCAGCAGUUCAUGUCUGGAUCUAAAGAGAGGAAUGAAACUGGAUCUGUACUACGAGAAGAUGACAGCAGAUUUACUCUUAGCUCAUCCUGUGAAUCACUAAAGCCUGUCUUUACCAUAGUGCUUGACUCUGAUCUUACCAAACCCAACCAGAUCCCACUGACACAACCUGUCCCAGCUUCUUCAACUAAAUGGGAUACUGUUUCAGUUGUUCAUGAUGGGACUGCAGAGACAUCAGAGGAUGGCUUGAAACUCUUGGAAGUCAGACCAAAUGUUGAUGUAGCCGUACAUGAAGAACAUGCUGUAAUAAGCUCUUCUGAUGAACCUGUACAUUUAUGUGCUGAUCUUUCAUCAUCAGAAGAGCAGUUUAAAGAAAACAGCCACACUGUUAAUAUUGAACCCACUUAUUCUGCUCUAGACCUUGAUUUCAGGCCUAAACCAGAGAAGGACUCAUCUGCUCAAGCAUUUGACCCAAUGCUUUUAUACCCAGAAAAGCAUCAAGCAAGCUCUGGAACUGCUAAGAAAGUAUUUACCAUCAUCCUGGAUGUUGAAACUGCUACAUUAUCAUCAGACAGGUAUCAGUCACUGCAAGACACACAAUGUACAGGUCCUGACGACUCAACCACAGAUGAAUUCUCCCAUUCAGAUGUAAAAAGUCAACAGAAGAACCCAUUUGGUACUGAGAAACAUGAAGGCCGAAUGGCUGAACUAGGUCUUUCAGAAAAGUCCAAUGUGAAAUCAAGUAGCUCUGAAAUGCAGCCAGGACAGAAGGAAGCUCCACUUAUCCAUCCCCAAACCCCUGAGAUCAUGGAGAAUGACAUUCAAAAAGAUGAAAAAGAGAAGCAACAUGAAGUCACUCAAGGCAGUGAGUCAGGGUCUGUUGUUCACCCAAUGUUGGAGAGUCAUGACAACAACACCUUUGAAGAGCCUUCAAAUGAAGCAAACGCACUUCAGAGGCCUCCAAAAGUUGCUAAAGGUAGGAAGAAAAACCGAAAACCAGUUAGUGUAGAAAAAGCAAUCAAUAUCAGUAAUAAAAAGCUGAGCACCUGUAAAUCUGAACAAAAGAACACAGCUCACUCAGAAAGCCUUCAAACUUCUGAGGUCAGGCUGCCGGACGCCACAGAUAUGGCCUGUGUCAGCACAAUGACUGUGUCUUCAGACUUCAGUCAACCAAACACUGCAGAGCCAUUGAGUACAGAAGACAAACUAACAGUGGACACUGUGCAGAAAGAGACCUUGAAUCAAACUGAAACAGAGGAUCGACAUUUUGAAAACAUUAGCAUCUCACUUGCCAGAGACGCCCAUAUUAGUACCACAGAUACGGUUUUAGCAGCAGUAGAGACUGUACAGUCAACACAUACAGAGUACUCAGAACUAACGCCAGAAGAUUCUUCAUCUGUUGUGACAGCUGACUGUAUAACACAGUUUUCUACCACAGUCCCAUCAGAGUUACAACUCAGCCAUGCUGAAGCUCAGAGGACUGAGGAUUCAGAUGACAGUUUCCCUUUGCAGUAUGAAAAAAUGCACAGAGCCAAUUCAGAUUCAUCUGCCGGGAGCAAAACGUCCCAAAACAGAGGAUCAGGAGCAGAUGGUGAGGAUCAAACGAGGCAUGCGGAGCAGCCUACUGGGACACGUGUGUGGGCCACUUUACUGAACACCAUCUCUAAUGCUCAGCCACUUCUGAUCACCAAUCACGGUACUGAGGAAUCUAGACAAAGGAAAGAUUCCUUGCUUCAGAAGAGAUCACUUUUAGAGUCUGAUAGCGGUCUGGCAUGGACUGUCCUGUGGGUUUUCAGAUGUCGGUACAGACCGGCCCAACUUAACAUUGUACAUAUGGCUCAUCAGCUGGAAGAAGUUGAGAUCUGCCGGAAGUAUGUCCUGGAGCAGGUGUCUAGAUUGCCUCAACGUGAAUCUAGUGCAGGACGCUCUACAGAGCUUGAGCUGAGCAUAGAGGGCAGAUGGAACAGAGUACUGCUGGAUACCUCAACCAUGGUGGAGUUCAAAAAGGCACAGCUCCAGCUGGUCACACAGUACCACCUGCAAAAACAGGUUCUCACGGAUACUCUACACAACCUGGAGGCUGAGCUCAACACAAUGACACCGUGAGCAUCUUUGACAUUUUCUCUGUGUGUGUGUAUUCAGGUAAACCCUACGUUAUGGGGACAAAAUGUCCCCACAAAGAUGACAAUAUCCAAAUUUUAUUGUGGUCCCCACAUUUUUUGGAAAACAGCAUAUCAAUCAUACAGAAUUAUGUUUUUUUUAUGAUCUAAAAAUGCAGAAAGUUUUGUUGGUAGGAUUUAGGCUAAAUACAGUUUGUACAGUAUAAAAACAUUAUACCUAUGAAAUAUCCCCAUAAAACACACACACACACACACACACACACACACACACACACACACACACAUAUAUAUAUAUAUAUAUAUAUAAACAACACACACACACACACACACACACACACACACACACACACACACAUAUAUAUAUAUAUAUAUAUAUAGCUUGUUUAAAAUUUAAUGUCCUUAUAAAUGGUUAAGUAAACUGUUGGAAAUAAUCAUAAUAAAAAUGAGGGGGUGUGACAACAUUGAAGAGUAAACACAUUAUUUUCUCAUUUUUGAAGGGAUUGCAUUGACAGCAGCACCUUACAAGUAGAGAAGCUGAAUGUAUUCCUGAAGAACAUGCAGAAGAAGAAAGGCACACUAGAGGAGCUCCUACAGACAUGCUCUCAGAUUUCAGCCCAUCUGGGUGAGGCAGAGGGACCUGUGGCCUUCAUUGAACCUUUUAGGACUUUACAGGAGAGAUGGCAAACUAUAGAGCGGGUUGCCUCCAGCAGUCUGUGGUGUGCUAACAUCUGCACAGCAGAAGUAUCUGCACUCCUGCAAGAAGCCAGAGAUCUGCACCAUGAACUGGAGCUUCUGGAGAAGUCAGUUUCUCUUCCACAUCCCUCUCAAGGACAGAUGGACUGCCGAAGUGAGCUACAAGAAACUGUCAGAACUGCAGACCUGGCAGCAUUAACAGAGCUCUACUUAUACCUUCUUGAGGUCUCUCAGGCUCUUUCCUCAAGUCCGCUGGGAAAAAAAGAGCUCAGAGAUAUGGAGGACGCAAUGCAGGGCUUGAAUUCUCAGCUUGCGUUGACUCAGGAGAAGCUCAGCUCCCAGACUUCGAAUGGCAAUGGCUGUUCACCGAUCACAAGGAUUAUCAGGGACUACAUUACAUGGGCUAAACAAACAGAAAGCAAAGUCAGCAGGAGUAGGAGGUUGGCUCUGUUUCCUGAAGAGGCAAGUCACCAGGUCAACCACAUGAAGAAACUGCAGUCUGAAACAUCUCUUAAGAAGAUUCAGUUGGCCUCUGUAUUGAAAGAGCUAAGAGAGGAAGUUACAGGACUCGGCAAGGAGGAUUCGAUGUCUCCCAUCCUUGCUUCCCUAGAGGAUUUGUACGUUAAGAUUACAGAGAAGACCGAAUGUGCUGUUGCAGAAAUGAACAGAAUGUUUCAUAUAAGAGAGAGACUGUGGAAACAGAUCACUGACAGCAGCUCUUGGUUAACCUCAGUAUUAGAAAAAGAGUCUGGUAAAACAGUGGCUUCUAAACCUAAAACUACAAUCCCAGAAUUGAGGGUUCAGCUUCAGGUAUGCACAGAGGCUUUGAAGGAAGCCGAGAGACAAGCAAAUAACUUGGAGACUCUGUUAGAUGAAAUAAAAAAUAGUGAAUCACAGUCUGAGUGUACCCGAAAGCUUUCAGCUUAUCAAUAGGCUAACAGCCUUACAAGAAGAGGUCUCUAGGGUUGUGAACCGUAAGUGGGCCUUGCACUGGGUGCUUGAAGAACUCCUUCAUGCUCAGGAAUCUUCUGCUGAGGAGCAAAACGUCAUUCUGAAGAGCCUGAGACAGAUGAGUGCUGAUGUCAUGAGGCAGAAGUAUCCCGUAACAAGGGACUCACUCUUGGCUCUUGAACCUGUUCAGCACAUCCUGAUGGAGCUCCUGUGCAAGGUGCCAGAAAUUCCACACUGCCCGGAUUCUCGGAGGAAAGAGAUGCUCAACGCUGUACUAGACCUACAGAGGAGAAUGGAUCUGCUGGAGUUGCAAGCGAAAGAUCAUGAGGAGUACCUCAUUUUAAGGCAGCACAUGGAGAACUCCAGAGAGGUGGUGAAGAAGAGCUGGUCGCAGAUUGUAGACUCAAGUGUAGGAGCUAACAUAAGGCUCGGCUAUUGUCAGGCUGUCUUGGUGGAGCUAGCUCUGGUGAGAAUGACAUGUCAAGAGGCCGCUGACCACCUUGAGGCUAUUUCGAAAGAUCUCUAUCCAUCUCAGCUGACAGCAGAAAGGCAAAAAUCCAUUUGGUCAUUGAGCAGCUCUCCUCUUGGGAGCUCACAGUAAAAAAUGAGGCUAAAACCCUUGAGUGCUCUCUGGCGGAGCGACUCGGCAGUCCUGCAGACCUCAGUCCAUUCACUGAGCUCUUCAUCAGUGUCAGGCAGCAGCUGAAGCAGAGCAUCUCCUUGGAGCCAGAUAAUGAGACCAUUGAUGCAGAGCUACGUAAGCACUGGAUGCGAAUCCAGACCACUGAGUCUGUUCUACGAAUCCUGGAGCACUGCAGGAAAGCGGUAGAUGCUGACAGCUACCAGAUGACCAUUGGUCUUGGCCAGAAAACUCUUAAUGAUUACGGUAUGCAUAUGGUAAGAUCUGUGUGUUCAUGCAUUUUAAAAUUAUACCACUAAUACCACUAGAAUGCUACUUUUGUAACCAUUGUUGUUUUCUUCAAGUAUGCAUGUG